rnacentral:rRNA from 1 species
CGUGAGUGAUGAAGGCUUUCGGGUCGUAAAACUCUGUCAAGUGGGAAGAACCUAUACCGUGCCAAUACCGCGGUAUACUGACGGUACCACUGAAGGAAGCACCGGCUAACUCCGUGCCAGCAGCCGCGGUAAUACGGGGGGUGCAAGCGUUAUUCGGAAUCAUUGGGCGUAAAGGGCGCGUAGGCGGUCUUGUCAGUCAGAUGUGAAAGCCCGGGGCUCAACCCCGGAAGUGCAUUUGAAACUAUGAGACUUGAGUAUGGGAGAGGGAAGUGGAAUUCCUGGUGUAGAGGUGAAAUUCGUAGAUAUCAGGAGGAACACCGGUGGCGAAGGCGACUUCCUGGACCAAUACUGACGCUAAUGUGCGAAGGCGUGGGGAGCAAACAGGAUUAGAUACCCUGGUAGUCCACGCAGUAAACGUUGAUCACUAGGUGUAGCGGGUAUUGACCCCUGCUGUGCCGCAGUUAACGCAUUAA